UGGGGAAUAUUGCACAAUGGGGGAAACCCUGAUGCAGCGACGCCGCGUGAACGAAGAAGGUAUUCGUAUCGUAAAGUUCUGUCCUAUGGGAAGAUAAUGACAGUACCAUAGAAGAAAGCUCCGGCUAAAUACGUGCCAGCAGCCGCGGUAAUACGUAUGGAGCGAGCGUUGUCCGGAAUUAUUGGGCGUAAAGGGUACGCAGGCGGUUUAAUAAGUCGAAUGUUAAAGAUCGGGGCUCAACCCCGCAAAGCAUUGGAAACUGAUAAACUUGAGUAGUGGAGAGGAAAGUGGAAGUCCUAGUGUAGUGGUGGAAUACGUAGAUAUUAGGAGGAAUACCAGUAGCGAAGGCGACUUUCUGGACACAAACUGACGCUGAGGUACGAAAGCGUGAGGAGCAAGCAGG
rnacentral:rRNA from 1 species